UCUCUCUUUCUCUGAGAAGAAGAGGGCUGCUGUGAGCCUUAUUUCACUGUGAUGAAGUUAUUUCUACUGGACAGUGUGAAAAACAAAUCGGAGAGUCUUAGAUACCAUCUCUUGAAGAGAAUGAAUCUGGAUUCAGUGCAGCUGGAUGUAGAAAGCUGAGGCCUAGCAACAACUGCAGGCAGCAGUUACUAUUCCAGUUGUUCAUCUUCAUCUUCUUUUUACAGAAGUACCGAUCUAGUUGACUACAUGGAUUUGCAACCAGCAGCUCAGCAGCUGCUUCAUGAACCAUCCUUCCAGGACGGGAACAUCACAAAGAUGGAUUCCUUUAGCAAGGAAGAUAUGACAGGUUGUGAUAUUGGACUGCAGUGAAGUUCCGCCGCUGCUGUUCUACCCUUCGUGAGUGAGCACUGCUGGGCUGUGCAGCUGACAAGCUCGUGCCCUUUUUUUGGGAGUAGGCUGAAUCAAGCCUCUGUCAAGAAGCACAGCUGAAACACUGAAUUAACAUACCCAAGACAAGCACAUCAGGAGGAUAGCCUUCUACCAAGAAUAAUGUGGAGAUAUACCUUGUUCACGGAAGCUCUGGAAACAUCGUGAGACUUGGACAGACACAAUGCAUCCUCAGAAGGCAGAGAUGUUGCUGCUCUCUGAGCAUUGCACACUCUGUGUUCAUGCCUGAUGGAAAUAAUGCCCAGUUUUGGGGGAGCUUGGUGGUAUGGGAGACAGUCACAGCAGCUCUAAUAGGGUGGCUUAUCACUUUCUUGUGAAGCCAGGUACAGAUUCUGUUCUCUUUUACACCCACAAAUCUGGUAUAAUAUUAAUUAGAUUGUCAUUAGGUUGCAUUAGUGAAGAUCCAUAAAGCAAAAAAAGGAAAGGUUCUAGACUCAUGCUAUAACUUGGUAUGUCAUUUGUAUGAAGGGGGUGAACAGAGAUCAUUAGCCAUGAAACACUGCUUUUCCAGAAAUAUGAAAUAUUUAGGUAAAAUAUCUAGGUAAAAUCUAACAAAAAUUUGAUUACUGCCUGAUAAAAUGGUGUCACUUCCCUUCUAAAUAGAUUUGAUCAUCUCCUUAAUGCAAGCCCUGCACCUUCACCUAGAUUCCUUUCCAGGCAGCUACAGUGGACCUGCUCACCAAUGGAAUUUGUCCCACUGGAUUCUUUUUUUUUUUUUUUUUCUGUGCAGUUGAAUGAAAAGUGUGUGUCUUUUGAAGAACAGCAACUGAAAGAAAUAUUGAUGACUGCCAGGGCAUCUACAGAAAAAGAUAAGAAAAUUACUCUACUACAACAGUGAAGACAAAGGGGCUUUGUUAACACUUUCUUGUAGGUUGUAUAUAUUAAUAGUAACAAGUAAAGUUUUGUAUUUUUUCAGAGAAACACACAAGGCCUUGAAUUGUAUUGUUUUAAUUGCAACUAACUGAAUGAAUUAAGUGGAAAAUUGCACACAGUACUUUGAUUGUCUAAUUCUCUGUAUGUGAGGCUUUGGGAACAGUUUGUUAUUAUAAAAGAACAGCACUAACCAGAAAUCAGCCAACAUGUAAUUGCUAGGCUGAGGGGCAGUUUGGGGAGAGC